rnacentral:rRNA from 1 species
CCCUUAGAUGUCCUGGGCCGCACGCGCGCUACACAGAGUGUCUGAGAUACGAGUCUGCCUGGUCCGGCAAGGUCUAGGUAAUCGCUAAAAGACACAUCAUGCUUGGGAUAGAUUAUUGCAAAUAUUAAUCUUGAACGAGGAAUUCCUAGUAAGCGCAAGUCAACAGCUUGCGUUGAUUACGUCCCUGCCCUUUGUACACACCGCCCGUCGCUACUACUGAUUGGAUGUUUAAGCGAGGUUCUCGAACUGCUAACGACUUAGCUUCGGUGAGGUCGCAGUGUGGGAAGUGAACCUAGCUUUGGUGUCUAGAGGAAGUAAAAGUCGUAACA